rnacentral:lncRNA from 1 species
GAGAAAUCUCGCGUCAUUUUUGGUUCGGAGAUAGACGAGCGGGGUGUGGCCAAUUUAGGUCAGGCUUGGAGAUUAGACCUCGUUUUUAUUUUAAAAUAUGUGAAUUUCGAAGUAUGGAUCACCAAACUUAUUUAGGAGUGUUUGGGAAGAAAUAAGGAAUCAAUCCAAUGGGGUUUUCAGCAUAAAAUCAUCGCCAUAUGCCACUCAUGUGAAAACUUAAAAACACCUCAAACCACCGAGAGGCCAAUCUCCAACCAUAAGUCACUGGGAGUAUGUCAUUGGGAACAAGCUUUUGCAGCGUUCCAGCUCCAUCUUCGUCUGGACACCUAGACCUACAGGAGGCAUGAUUUGGUACCAUCCUGGUGCUUAUUCAAGGGGAUGCAGCAGCAACCUUUUAGGAGUCGUUUGGGUUUGUUUGGGAACAAUUAGUUUGUGAUUUGAGUAACUAUUGCGUUUUAUAUCUCAAACAUUUAGUGGAUGCACUAUGUUGAUUAAUUUUUUUUUAAGAUUUAGCUUACUUUUUCAUUAAACAUAUUGAAAUCUUAAUGCAUUUAGUUCCCAACCUGUUGUAUCUAUGGUAAAUUACUUGCUCACAAGGUAAUAAGCCUCAGAAAAUUAGGUUUUAUACUUUAUUAUUGGUUUGAUAUUUAUUGUGUAAUAUUACUUGCUUGUUUCCCAGAUAUUUUAUUGUUUAUUCGCUUUAUUCCAUUUGUUCGGUUAAUUCAGUCGUCGUUUAGGUAUUCAUCUUAACUUCAUUAUUAUAACUUUCAAUUUGGAUAUUUAAUUUUGCUUAAUUCAUUGUAUUGUAUUUUGACUUAGUCAUAGUCAGGCUUGUGCCUGCUGUUUUAUAUUAUUAGUCAUAUUUUUCGGGUUUUAAUUUAGUUGUACGUAGCAAGCGUACUAUAACCAUUUGGUGAAUGUAGUCUCAUGUGCGUUGUACCCUAUAUAUAAGUAAGAGGUAUAUAAUUUUGUAAUAUAUAACAUGACUGUUGUUAUAUUAGAUAUGCAUAAUAGUACAAAACAAUAACUUUUGUCAUUUUAGAGUCACAUAAUAUGCAUUUGGUUUAACUCCGAAAUUGUUAAAGAUCUAGUAGUUAUUUUUAAUACAUAUUUACUUAUUUUUUAUAUCAUU